GACAAGGAGAAGAGAGAUCGGGAGAGUCGACGUUCUGAGAGGGAAAAGAGUGUUGAUUCUGAAGAGCAGCAGUACGAGAGGGAGAAGGAAAAACUUAAAAGGGAUAAGGAUAAAACACGGAGUCGGGAUGAUGAAAGAGAUAGAGCAAGGGAUAGGAGGAAGGAUAGAGACAAGGAAAGGGACAGGGACAAAGAAGAUAGGGCGAGGGAGAAAACCAGGGACAAGGAGAAGGAGAGAGAGAAGGAG
rnacentral:misc_RNA from 1 species